AGGUGCAUGUGUUCGGGCACCCAGAGCAGCCGGGAGAGAGGUAAGUCACCGUGGGGCAAGGGGGAGUCUGGGGAUGCCCUGGCCACCCAGGGACAUUAGUCCUGUUUGGGGGGGAUGGGAGGGAGGAGGAAAAAUCAAACUGAAAGCAGCCCUUUAAGCUUUCUUUAGCAGUGUGCUCGUGCACAGAGAAGAGGAUUGGAUGACCAAAAGUCAAUCACGCUCUCUGUCGGAAAAUUUAAAACAAAAAAAGAGGGAGCCCCACCCCUGGGAAAGCCCCAAAACAAGCAGCAAGCGAAGUAUAGACACAAUAGCCUAAUAGAACAAAUACACAAAGAAAGAAGCCAAAAUCUGCUCCCUGUGAGCGGGUUUGGCAACUGGAGGUGGGGCUCGGGGGAGAGGGGUCCAGCUUUGUGGGAGCUGGGCAGAUGGGGAGCAGCUCCCUAUACAGGGACCCCUCCCCCCACUUACUGGCCCAAUGGCUCCUCAGCCACAGGGAGAGGGGUCACUGUAGGGGGAGCUCCUCUUUCUGUCUGCCCAACACCCUGUGUAUCUGGACCCCCUGCCAAGCCUUACCCACGCUGCACCUGGAAACCCCUUCUGCAUCAGGAGCCCACCCACUCCCCCAGAGCCUCACCCCCUGCAAUGGGAGCUCCACACAGCUAGACCCCCCACCCCACUGAUCUCAACCAGCUGCAUCCUGACCCCCACACUCCCCCAGCACCCAGGUUCCGCUCUCCCGCUGAGCCCUAACCACCCGGAGAGUGCUAUUCCCCCUUCACCCAGAACCUCCCAGUGACUUGUUGUGUAUAUAGAUCCUCCUCCUCUCCCCCCCCCUCUCCCCGAGAUUGCACCACCCAGAACCUUGGUGGGGAAAUUCUGCACCAAAAAAUAAAAAAAAUUCUGCAUAUUUUAUUUGUCAAAAUAACUAUUGCUGGGGGAAUUCCGCACCACUGCACGUGCGCAGAACCAUCCCCGGGCAGCGUCUCUGCUGCCUGCAAAAAAAAUGGUUUCUGGGGGGAAGCAAAAAGCAGCUGCACCAGCGCUCACACCCCCCUCCCCAGCAAUGCAGGCGCCUCUGUUCUGGUAGCCGGGGGAGAGGUGGUCUGGGGAUGUCCUGGCUGCCCAGGGCCGUUAGUCCUGGGUGGGCAGGGGAGAGGAGGACGAUGACAACAGAGGCAGAGCUCCCCCUUCCUCUCCCCUGCACAAAGCAACCAGAGCUGGGUCAGAAACCCCCCAGGUGCAGGAAGCUCUGCACCGUGCAGGGGGGGAGGUGUCUGGGUGCAGGGGAUGAGGGCUCAGUGCUUUGGGAGUUCCAGGUGCUGGGGGGGUGUUUGAGUGCAGGGGGGUCCAGACAUAGCUGCUGACUUUUAUCUGCCCUCGAUCUGCCUCUUUCUGCCCCACUCCAUCCCAUCCCCAAGGCCCCCACCCCCCCAGCUCUCACUGCACUCCCUGAGCCACCAAUCAGUGGUGUGGUGGUGCUGCCAAUCUGAGCACCCAUUGUAACUUUUCUGUGGGUGCUCCACAGAAUCAGUGCCUAUGCAUCUGGAUACACAAGUGUUGGGAGGACAUGGGGAGCAGCUCCCUGGACAGUGACCUCCUCCCCACACUUUCUGCCCCCAUUGCUCCUCAGCCACAGGGGAAGGGGUCACUGUCCGCCCAAUUCCUGUGCACCUGGAUGCCUUCCCCCACCGAACCUCGCCUUCCCUGCUCCCAGAAACCCCCCACCAAGCUGAGCUUCAUCCCCUCCAUCAGGAGCCCUCCACCAAACCCCCGAUACCCAAAUCCACACACCCCUGAGCUUCAGCACCUGCAUCAGCAGCCCCCCCACCCCACUGACCCCAAAAAGAUGCACCCUGACCCCAACCCCACCAAGUCCCACUUCGCUACCAUCCAGUCCCCGCUGAGCCCCCCAUAUUCCCCCACUGAGCUCUAACCGCCUUCACCUGGACUCGCCUGCAGAGUCCCAUUCCCCCUGCACUCAGAACCCCCCAAUGAGCCCCUGUGCAUCCAGAUCCCCGCCAGGCCUCCCACCCAGCUGUCCGCACCCAGAUUGUACCCCACAGAACACUGGUGUUCUUGAGAGAAUUCUGCACCAAAAAUAAAAAAUUCUGUGCCUACAAAUGUUAAAAUUCUGCAUAUUUUAUUUGUGAAAAUAACCCAGUAACAGUAUAAUCACACCAAUACUUGCUGACAGGUAUUUUGAAAUAAAUUAUCAAAACAAUUGAAAAUGGUGUGAUUAUAUUGUAUUAUUUUGACAAAUAAAAUAUGCAGAGUUUUGCAGAAUUUUUAAUUUUUUGGCACAGAAUUCCCUCAGGAGUAUUUUACAAACCUUUGGUCUCUUACUGCAGAGGGGUGGGCCCUGGAAACUACAGGUCCCAGCAUGCAAUGCAAGCAAUCUAAGCUGCAGUGUUAUAUGCUGGGGCCUGCAGGUUGCCUAGGGAUGGGCUACCUGCCUGGCUACAUCUGAAACGGCUUCCCCCCUGUGUUAAAUUGUCCAGGGGCCAAAUGCUGGUCACUUGCUUUUGGCAGCCAAGUUUACAGCCUCUUUAGCCUUUCAGUAAUGUCAAACGAGCAUCACCACGCGAGCCAGCCAGCUCCAGAGCAUGCGUCUCGUUCCUGGUCCUUGGACAGUCAUCGCAGCUCGGUACAUGUACGGCCUGGAAUCGGUCACUCUUAUUUUUAUCAGUGUCAAGAAUAAACAUGCUCAUCUGGCUUAA